CGAUAAUCUCUACGGAGAAAAGCAGGGGAUCGCAAGACCUUGCGCUCUUGGAGCGGCCGAUGUCUGAUUAGCUAGUUGGUGAGGUAAAGGCUUACCAAGGCGACGAUCAGUAGCUGGUCUGGGAGGACGACCAGCCACACUGGGACUGAGACACGGCCCAGACUCCUACGGGAGGCAGCAGUGGGGAAUUUUGGACAAUGGGGGAAACCCUGAUCCAGCCAUGCCGCGUGAGUGAAGAAGGCCUUCGGGUUGUAAAGAUGUUUCAGCCGGAACGAAACGGUCACGGCUAAUACCUGUGACUACUGACGGUACCGGAAGAAGAAG
rnacentral:rRNA from 1 species